ACGGGAUGGACAGGGUGAGGAAAGGCUGGUAAGCCCCAAGCCCUGAAGUCAGGGAGGCCAUGUACCUGUCACACGAUGGGGCACAGUGCAGGAGGGUCACCACAACAUCAGCAGGGUGUGCCUCAGUCACCCUCAGAAACUCCGCCAGCAGCUUCUCUUCUGGAGUUGCGUUGGCUGUCAGUCUCUGGUGCACGUUCCUGAUGAAGGUUGGCACCUGGAGGAGGCAUGGGGGAAGAGCUGCCAACUUGCCCAGCUUCUCUGACAAGUACUUCCCUUCCCACCACACUGUGCUGGCCUCAAAGGCUGAGAGGGCCCAGGGGAGCUCACUUGAGGGGCCACAACCCCUGGAGUGGCUUGAGCCCUGGACACAGGCUGCUUACUUGCUCUGGACUGGAGACACCAUUCUCCUCAAAAAUAUCUGGAGUGGGAGCAUAAUUCACACUCUCCGUGGGCACGAGGUCAGUGUCUGGAGUGCCCUCGGUCAUUGCAGCGUUGGCCUCCACAGCAAGAUCAGGCAGUGCAGCGUCAGAGUUUGUCGGUUCAUCGCUCAACACGAUGUCAGAGAUUGCAUUGCGAUCGAUCGAUGGGCUCUCAGUGUCUGUCGUAUCAUCAGGCAAAGCAGGGUCAGACUUUGUUGUGUGAACAGUCGGCGACACGUCACAGUUUCCUGUGCCAUCAGUCAGUGCGGUGGUGACAUCAGAGUCCGCCUUGAGCUCAGUCGGGCUGGGGUCCGGCUGUGCCACGACCUCAGUUGGGCUGGUUGUGGUCCUUUUACGCCGAAUGCCCACGAAUUUCAGAAAGGUCUGCAGAAGAACGGAGAGCAGGGAGGAGAGGGACGUGCCAUGGUGAGUUCUGACAGAGGUGCCAGCCUGAGCAGUGACAGCAGGCCCAGCCCAGAGGCCAUGGCUGCAGGUACCUGUGCUGCCCUGCGGAAGCGGCCACGGGCACGGUCCUGCUCUUGUGUCCGGUCCCGGUCUGGGUCUGGCAAAGAGCGAGCACAGUCAGAGCUGAGGGGCUGUGGGACAGGCCGGAGAACACGGUCCAGCCCUGCGUUCCACAGGCAGGGCCAGCCCCGGCAUUCCCAGUGCAUGGAGCUGCCGGGGGAACAGUCCCGGGCCCUCUCCCCCCCUCCCUUUCCCUGGUCAUGUCCCCAGGAGACGGGAUGGGAUGAGGCACAGCCAGCUGCAGCCACCAGCCCUGUGGCCCAGUCGUGCCACUCACCUUCCUGCAGGGGA
rnacentral:lncRNA from 1 species